GAUGAACGCUAGCGACAGGCCUAACACAUGCAAGUCGAGGGGCAGCACAUGCGUAGCAAUACAAUGGUGGCGACCGGCGCACGGGUGAGUAACACGUAUGCAACCUACCUGUAAGAGGGGAAUAACCCGGAGAAAUUCGGACUAACACCGCAUAAUACCUCGAAGCUGCAUGGCUUUGAGGUUAAAUAUUUAUAGCUUACAGAUGGGCAUGCGUAACAUUAGAUAGUUGGUGAGGUAACGGCUCACCAAGUCAACGAUGUUUAGGGGUUCUGAGAGGACGGUCCCCCACACUGGUACUGAGACACGGACCAGACUCCUACGGGAGGCAGCAGUGAGGAAUAUUGGUCAAUGGGCGAGAGCCUGAACCAGCCAAGUCGCGUGAAGGAAGAAGGUUCUAUGGAUUGUAAACUUCUUUUGUAAGGGAAUAAAAAAGCUUACGUGUAGGCUAUUGUAUGUACUUUACGAAUAAGGAGCGGCUAACUCCGUGCCAGCCGCCGCAGUAA
rnacentral:rRNA from 1 species